GUUGAACGCUGGCGGCGUGCCUAAUACAUGCAAGUCGAGCGGAAAGGCCUCUUCGGAGGUACUCGAGCGGCGGACGGCUGAGUAACACGUAGGAACAUACCCCAAAGUGAGGGAUAAGCACCGGAAACGGUGUCUAAUACCGCAUGUGCUCUAAGGAGUAAAGCUUCGGCGCUUUGGGAAUGGCCUGCGCAUGAUUAGCUUGUUGGUGUGGUAAUGGCUCACCAAGGCGACGAUCAUUAGCUGGUCUGAGAGGAUGAUCAGCCAGACUGGGACUGAGACACGGCCCAGACUCCUACGGGAGGCAGCAGUAGGGAAUUUUCCACAAUGGGCGAAAGCCUGAUGGAGCAACGCCGCGUGCAGGAUGAAUGCCUUAGGGUUGUAAACUGCUUUUAUAUGUGACGAAUAUGACGGUAGCAUAUGAAUAAGGAUCGGCUAACUCCGUGCCAGCAGCCGCCGUAA
rnacentral:rRNA from 1 species